CGAGUAUCAUUUUCCAUUCCGUCUGAGAGAACCGUUCUCGAAGGGCGUUGAUUGUGGGGAGACUGCGAUUUUCAAUAGCUGAGCGUUUCAUAGAUUUAGAACGUCAGGACGACUUUGAGCUCUGCAUCGGAACUUCGCAGCGCACUAGUGAGUCCAUGGAAUGGAGCCAUCCCAGCUGCUUGUGUCCAUAACGGCAUGCCUUCUCCUCACGGCUAUGCUGGCUCGGAGUGAAACUCCAGAUCCGUAUCACUGGUCCUUCUUCCGUGAGCUGCUCGUUCCCCCGGAGAUCGACGCUUGCCUAAAAGAGCACAACAUUCGGAACAAUCAAAUCAAGGAUUACUUGGAGCUUGUCGGCAAGAUGAAAAUGAGAUGCGAUCGCCAAAAUGUAGAGUUCGAACAAUGUCUCAAUAAUUUCCGUCGAAUGGACGAUCCGAGAGGCAAGUUUAAACCUGUCGACGAGAAAAUUCAGGCAUGUCAAAGAAAGAUCGAACUCGAAGGCAGACGUUAACUCCACGUCUCCGGGAGAAUAAAGUAUUU